CAGUAGCCGCGGUAAUACGUAGGGUGCGAGCGUUAAUCGGAAUUACUGGGCGUAAAGCGUGCGCAGGCGGUUCGUUAAGACAGAUGUGAAAUCCCCGGGCUUAACCUGGGAACCGCAUUUGUGACUGGCGAGCUAGAGUAUGGCAGAGGGGGGUAGAAUUCCACGUGUAGCAGUGAAAUGCGUAGAGAUGUGGAGGAAUACCGAUGGCGAAGGCAGCCCCCUGGGCCAAUACUGACGCUCAUGCACGAAAGCGUGGGGAGCAAACAGGAUUAGAUACCCCCGUAGUCCCUGUCUCUUAUAA
rnacentral:rRNA from 1 species